AUAAGCAAUUAUACAGCGAAACUGCGAAUGGCUCAUUAUAUAAGUUAUCGUUUAUUUGAUAGUACCUUACUACUUGGAUAACCGUGGUAAUUCUAGAGCUAAUACAUGCUAAAAAUCCCGACUUUGGAAGGGAUGUAUUUAUUAGAUUAAAAACCAAUGCCCUCCGGGGCUCCUUGGUGAUUCAUGAUAACUCCUCGAAUCGCAUGGCCUUGCGCCGGCGAUGGUUCAUUCAAAUUUCUUCCCUAUCAACUUUCGAUGUUUGGGUAUUGGCCAAACAUGGUUGCAACGGGUAACGGAGGGUUAGGGCUCGACCCCGGAGAAGGAGCCUGAGAAACGGCUACUACAUCCAAGGAAGGCAGCAGGCGCGCAAAUUACCCAAUCCCGACACGGGGAGGUAGUGACAAUAAAUACUGAUACAGGGCUCAUUUGGGUCUUGUAAUUGGAAUGAGUACAAUUUAAAUCCCUUAACGAGGAACAAUUGGAGGGCAAGUCUGGUGCCAGCAGCCGCGGUAAUUCCAGCU
rnacentral:rRNA from 1 species